GCUAAGACCUGCUGCCACACCGCGGCCAUUACCCGGCCUCCUCUUCCGCCGUAUCCGCCCGCGGGCGCCUGCAGGACAAGGGCCUGGAAUGUCAGCGUCUCAAGUGAAGGGAUCUAGUUCCGCCCCUUCUGCCAGGCUCCCGGCAAGAUGGCUGCCUGCUGCCAGGAAGGGCUGCCAAGCGUAGAGCGAAUGGAUGGGAAUCUUCCCCAUAGCGUGGGAGACCUACGCAGGCGCUCUAAGGAAAUGCUGGCAAGAUCAAGACAAUGGGACCAUGAAGAAACCCAAUUCUGGUUUAUUAGGGGACUUCACCUCAAGCAUAUCCCAUUCUACUGCACCUCACACAUCUUUUCUUAACAAAUGGAAACCAAAGCCCUCCACCAGCAAAAAGGGUGUGACUCUUUAUAGUGAGACUCUCACUCCUACUGCUGUGGUGUAGAAUGAACCCACAGUACCUCUAUGGUGUGCUUGCAUAGACCCAAAUCAAUCUCAAACUUUAAAUUUUUGGCAAUCCCUGCCCACCCCACCCCUCAACUAAAUCCUUUGCUCAAAGACUCCCUUCCCAGUGAUCUUCCCUGUUCUUACAUUACAAACUGGGUUGAGUAAGGAUAAAAGCACUAUCAAUAUCGAUUUGUUUUUCAGGUUUCAUCUUUUUAAUCAGCUCCAUGAAGGACAUCCUAAAUGCUACAUGAAAACACAACAGAAUAUUUUUCUUCCAGUAUUAAAAAAAUAUGACAUUCACAAGUAUUUUAAGAAACAUCUAUAUAUCAGGUCAGUGAUUUCAAUAAAAAACACCACCUCUAAGUAAUCAUGUUCUUAAUUUCUUAUAGUUACAUUUGGAAAUUGCUUCCUAAACAUGGUAAACACUGUCUAUGAGUUUUUAAAAUGUCCCUAGAUGCACAUGAUUUCUGGGGGAGAGUCUGGU